UAUGUGAUCGUCUCUCGCAUAUCAAUAAGCGGAGGAAAAGAAACUAACAAGGAUUCCCCUAGUAACGGCGAGUGAAGCGGGAAGAGCUCAAAUUUGAAAUCUUAAAGGGUUUCCCUUUACGAAUUGUAGUUUAAAGAAGUGUUUUCUGUUGAGGUUUUGGUAGAAGUUCUUUGGAAUAGGACGUCAUAGAGGGUGAGAAUCCCGUAUUUGACCUUUACUUUCAACUUUGUGAUACACUUUCAAAGAGUCGGAUUGUUUGGGAAUGCAGUCCAAAAUGGGUGGUAAAUUUCAUCUAAAGCUAAAUAUUGGCGAGAGACCGAUAGCGAACAAGUACCGUGAGGGAAAGAUGAAAAGAACUUUGGAAAGAGAGUUAAACAGUACGUGAAAUUGUCAAAAGGGAAGCGUUUGACACCAGUGUUGUUUUUCUGAAAAUCAAUUAAAGAACUGUUUAUGCUAAGUUGUUUAGACUUUAUCAACUAUCUGUUUAGUUUUGAGCUUUUCUUUAAUGCACUUUUCAGUUAACAAGUCAACAUCAAUUUCUUUUGCUGUAAAAAGCUUGAGGAAGGUGGCUUGAGAUUCGUCUUAAGUGUUUAUAGCCUCUUGCCUAUGCAGUCGGAGAGAUUGAGGUCUGCAGCGUAGAUCCUUCGGGGCUAAAUGCAUUUGUGCUAAGUUAUAGCAUUUUAUAGACAACUUGUUGACUAUGAUUUGUCUUGUAGCUUACUCGCUUAUGUUAUUUUACCUACGCUUAGGAUGUUGACUGAUAUGUAGUCGU
rnacentral:rRNA from 1 species